rnacentral:snRNA from 1 species
CUUAGAUAAAAGCUCAGCUACGACCUGGAACCGUACAGAGGAUUAGCACGGCCCUUGCUCAAGGAUGACACGCACAUUCCCAAGGCGCUCCCCAGUUCU